GAUUAUUAGUCACCACUCUCCAGCUGGGCUCCGCUAUUGGCGCCAAGAAUGCGAAGCUCCUCAUCUUGACCAUGAAUGUGACGCAGCUCACGCCCGCACGAGAGCCUCCACAGCGAACCUUUCGCCACGGCCGAGCCAGCCCCUGGUGUGUGGCUAGGACCUCGACAACAAUGCUAAGCGCCUACGAUGUCCAUGGUGGGGCCGAUACAUCCAUGAAGACAAAUUGCGGCCGCCAGAGCCUAUGCUCCGCCGGCGGCCUGUACACGCUUUCGCCGCACUCGCUUGAAGCUGUAACGGACCUUUUAAUUGCAGUGCCACAGUCUGAGCAAUCGGCAUAUCGUAGAUAUUACUUUUUAAAAGAUGAAGAUUUUAAAGAUUUAAAGUGAAGUUCCCCCUCCUCUCAACCCGGCGCCUGUCAACCCUCUCCCGGCGCCCCUGUCAACCCUCUCCCGGCGCCCCUGUUAACCCUCCCGCCACAGUGGAAGGAUAAUUAAUGGUAUAGCGUCGCGUGAGGCAGAACAAGUUACGUUCAAAAAUUGUGUGUACAUGAACGCAAAUCCUAAAAUUGAAAAUCCUAAGCCCCGAGCACUGCAGAAACAUUUGAAAACGUCGAGCUUUCUUUCUUCCAGCAAAGAGCUCAACAAUUUAAAGGGAAAAAACCGUUUAUCUAGAAAAGAAGUACACCAGACAACCAAGAGAUUGUCUCUGAGAGGCAAACUGGUAUAGCUGCAAGGAACAAACUCAAGGAUAAAUAUCGUUGCCUCAAUGGGUCACACAU